rnacentral:rRNA from 1 species
UAGUAAUUUAUAAAUUAGAGUGAUUGAUUUAUAGGUUUUUAUGCCUUUUGCAUCAUGCUUAAUAGAUUAAUUAAAGUAUUUUGUUAAUCGAAUAAUUCAGAUUUUACUAUUAAUUAUUAAGAAUUAUUGAAUAAUUUAAGUAAAGUUGUAAAGAUUAAUAGUAGGAAGUGAUAAGUUAUUCGUUGAAUUGUAUACCUAUUUAGCUAUUGAAUGAUUUAUUAUUAGAUAAUAGGUUAAAAGAUCUAUUAUAGGUUUACACAUUAGAAUUACUGUUUAAUAAAAUUAGGUUAAAGGUACCUAUUUUUUAUAAGUUUGUUAAAAAUUUUGUUAAUUUAUGAACAUGUUAAUUGAUGUAAUAGCUUACUAUAAUAAUUAGAUUAUAAUUUAUUAUUAAAUAAGUAAUUAUAUUAUGUAAAUUAUUUCUAAACACUUUUCCGUCUGUUUAUUAAAAACAUUUCCAAUUAUAAAAUUUAGUUGGUAGUACCUGCCCAGUGUGUUAAUAAAUGGCCGCAGUAUAUUGACUGUGCGAAGGUAGCAUAAUUAAUUGCCUUUUAAUUGGGGGCUUGUUUGAAUGGUUUGACGUGAUAAGUUGUAAUAUUUUAUAUAUUUGUGAAAUUAGUUUUGAGGGUUCAGAAACCUCAUAUAUUAAUUAGACGGAAAGACCCUGGGAUCUUUAUAUUUUGCUUGGGGCAAGUUUUAUUGUUUUAAUAUAAUUUAGACCCUAUAAAAUUAGUUUAGUGGGUUAAGUUACCCCAGGGAUAACAGUGUAAUAAUUAAUUAGAGAUCAUAUCGAAUUAAUUGUUUGCCACCUCGAUGUUGACUUAGAUUUUACCUAGGUGUAGUAGUUUAGGUUUUUGGUCUGUUCGACCUUAGAAAUCUCCAUGAGUUGAGUUAAGACCGGCGUGAGCCAGGUCGGUUCUUAUCUAUUUUUCAAAUUUAUCAGUACGAAAGGACAGUAAGUUUUUUUAUU